CGUUAUUUAUGUCGCAUUACCAUAGAAACUCAAGUACUGUAUACCUAAAUUCCGGACAGGAUGUUCAUGCAUUUGAAUUGGUAAGAGAAUACCCUUGCUUUGCGUCAACUUAGAGAUGUCUGAUUGCAGUUGAAGCAUUCAAGAUCCGUUGUGACUGAUGUUGAAAGCUUCAAUUGUAUUUACUGUUAGUGUAAUUGUCAAUAUAAGUCAGGGUAGAGUCGGCAGCGAGAGUGAGGUAUCAUUGGCGUCGGCCCUAGAGAUGUUGACCGAGGCUGAAGUCACCCUCUUUUUACAUAUGAAAAUCAGAGAAUCUGAUGUUCAUGGUGUAAUUGUUGUAAAGAUGUUAAUUAUGAAAUUAAUUAACCUGAAGGGAGCUGUCAGACCAAGUAUCUUUCAGAAUCUACUGGGUGUAAUCGACAGCUCAGGCAGAGCUGUUGGGUGAGUGGAACUCGAAGCUGAUCGAGGGAGGAGUAGUGCGGGGCACUGACGCUCUCAGGCAUCAGUCCAGCGUCUGAAACUCCUCCACGCACAGGUUCCUCUUGGCCAAGAGCCUUGUAGAUUGGGACGACCUCCACACUAAUUUGGGAGAUGGAUGAAGGCCAGUGAACUCGGGUAAAUUCGUGAACACGAGCGUCAGGAACUAACCACCUCCUCUGGGAUCCAGUCAACUGGUCAGCCGUUCAAUGUCCAGUUUGUUGAUAUCACAGGCAGAGCAAACAGUGCCAGCCCCCUUCAUUGUUAUGGGUGAGUCCACUACUCAGUAGGGGUAUAUGGUGGCUGUGUUAUUCCUCUGAAUACACCUGUAUGUAUUCACCUGAAUUGUCUGAGUGUUUGGAGUCAGCAAGAGUAGGUUGACCAUCAGUUUGUGUGUGGGCAAAGGUACCAUAGUGGUGAAGAGAAGCUACAAAUUCUGGUGAUGUUAAAGUAUUAGUGUUGGUGCUGUAACUGGCAUCAUUGCCACUUGUAAUAGUGCUCAAAGGUGCUAUGUAAGAGUAUUGUGUGUGUUCUUGUACAUGUAAGUGGAAAAUGUACCUAAGUUUAACAGUACCAAAUAAGUAAAGCCAGGGAGUUGACCCCCAUCAUUCUCUCCCAUUGCUUGAUAUCAGAAUUACAGUGUACCCAUGUCAUAACCCCCGAGCCACAAUACCAAAGAUCAGAGGUUAUGGAGUAAUUAUAUGAAAUGAAAUAACUAGACAAAACUAAUGGAGAAAAUAAAUGAAGUAAGAAAUUAAGAAGAAACCAGGUUGAGUUUAAAAGUUAUAUUAUAAAUGGUUUCAGCGACUGGAUUGUAAUUUAAAAUGGUACCCAGUUGGGAGGAAGGAAUGAGCUAAUGUAGGUGUUUUUAACUGAUUUGUAAUAACCAUUUCUCUGUGCUGGUAUCUAAUAAACAUUUAACGGUAACUGAGUAUUUCAGAUUGCUAAUAAUUUUGUUCCAUAUUCUUCCAAGGUACAGUACAUUGCACAGUAUAUGUAAUUCUGUACUAAUUAAUUAGGGACAUAAUUAUUUCAGUAGGUUAUGUGUGUGUUUAUAUGCUGCCUUUAUUGAUAUAUACAUUAUAUAUUGUUACUUCUUACCAAAGUUAGAAUGUGUUUAGGCCUGUGUAAUCACGAAUGUGUUAGGCACAUGGUACAUAACAAUAAACGACUGGAGUAAGACUUGG